rnacentral:tRNA from 1 species
CGAAACAUAGCUUAAUAAAAGCCUCUCGCUUACACCGAAAAAAUGUCUAUAAACAAGACUGUUUCGA